GAACGUGCGAGUUGAGCAGCAAUGCUGUGCGAGAUAAGUGAGAUGAGAACCGACGACAAAAGUCGUGUCUUGUGACGUCUUUCUCAACCAUGAUGAAUAUGACUUAGUAAGGAACAUAAUUAAUUUUGGCUUGACUUGCCUAACUGAUGACCUUUCAAAAACUUAUUUAAUCGAUGGCCUUUCAAAACUAUAUCCACCGCAUUGUUGGUGCCGUGCAGCUCAAUGUUAACCAUCAGAAGAAACCACAUCAACAACAAUCAGUACAAACCACCGAAAGUGAG